UACAGAGGGUGCAAGCGUUGUUCGGAAUUACUGGGCGUAAAGCGCGUGUAGGCUGCGAUGUAAGUCAGGUGUGAAAGCCCUCAGCUUAACUGAGGAAGUGCACUUGAUACUGUGUCGCUUGAGUGUCGGAGGGGGUGGCGGAAUUCCCGGUGUAGAGGUGAAAUUCGUAGAUAUUCGGAAGAACACCAGUGGCGAAGGCGGCUGACUGGACAUGUAUUGACGCUGAGGUGCGAAAGCGUGGGGAGCAAACAGG
rnacentral:rRNA from 1 species